rnacentral:rRNA from 1 species
AGCAGCCGCGGUAAUUCCAGCUCCAAUAGCGUAUAUUAAAGUUGUUGCAGUUAAAAAGCUCGUAGUUGAAUUUCGGGAUCAGAUUGUUGGUCGUGCCUCGGUACGUACUGGCAUUAUUGGUUCCUACCUUCUGAAGAACCGCGAUGUCAUUAAUUUGGUGUCGUGGGGAAUCAGGACUGUUACUUUGAAAAAUUAGAGUGUUUAAAGCAGGCGCACGCUUGAAUACAUUAGCAUGGAAUAAUGAAAUAAGACGUUUGAUUCUAUUUUGUUGGUUUCUAGGAUCGACGUAAUAAUUAAUAGGGAUAGUUGGGGGCAUUAGUAUUCAAUUGUCAGAGGUGAAAUUCUUGGAUUUAUUGAAGACUAACUACUGCGAAAGCAUUUGCCAAGGAUGUUUUCAUUAAUCAAGAACGAAAGUUAGGGGAUCGAAGACGAUCAGAUACCGUCGUAGUC